GAGUGAUCACUGCUAGCGAGCUCUGUGGCCAAUGACGUGGCCAGGGUUGCCAGCGAUUAUUACAGUGUAGGAACGCAGAAAGGAUAGUCCAGGAGCAGAAGACUCUCGAGGAAAGUGCAAGCUAUGAAAAAAGGCAUGCAAUGGCGGCCACAGUCACACACGUAGCAAGUAGAGGCUUGCUGCAAAGAACCAACUGUGUCUUUGUGCUCCGCCCGUACAACACAGCAAAACAACAACAGAGUUGCAUAGCCAGUGGCUGACGACUCUCUUACGGCCGUUGGAAAGCGCAACUGUGUUUCAAGUGUGAAAAGAACUCUAAGCGCUGAAUCCAACCUACCAUGAAGAUCUUGAUUGGUGGGACACACGGAUCAAUGAGCACCGCUGGAACUGCAUUCUGGGUAGCAUGACUCACUGGACGUCUGUGAGGACAGUGCAGAGCAUGAUUUUUAUGAUCAAUCAAAAACUGCUGAUUGCUGUUACGCGUACAAUGAUAUGUACACAGGCUCACAGGAAUAAACUGGCAACGACAGUGUUGGUGAAGGGAAUGGCCGAUAUCUCCAACCUAACCUAGCAGCCGUACAAAGGCAGCAUCAUGAUGGCCAGCUUGCCUGACGAGUUUAUCAUCGCUCAGUAUCCAGAACCGUUCCAGCAACUUUCCCACAAUGAAGUGAUGAUGAUGGAAGCAAGGUAGCCAAAUGUCAAGCUGGAAGACAUGUUAUCACUGGCUGCAUACUGGAUCAGAAACUGAGCACGGAGGACAGCUUUCACAGCAGAGAUAAUCAGCCAUGUAUCAGUGGUGGGUGCAGACAGCAGAAGCCAAGAACGGAGAAGGAUAGAUUACAUUGAGAGCAGAGGCAACCAUGGACUACCUGACAGUGUUCAAGUACUGGAAAUCACCAACACAGAUCAUGCAGUUUGUCCACCAACCAGUGCAAUGCUAACUGAUAGCCGAGUAGCAAGAUGGAUGUGUCGACGUCAGUGCAGAACGCCUUUGUGAUGUGCAAUGCAGCUUUGCAAUUGCAGCAGGUGGUGCAUGGUGGUAGGAGGUAGGAUAGUCCAACAGUGUUGAUUGUGCAAAGAUCAAAUCUCACUCACUCUCCGGGUGCGUAGCUGUCAGUGCAAGAAAGCUGAUUUGCGCAUCACGCUGUGUGGGUCACACGGACGACGCACAGCAGAAACAAAUCUACCUACUGCCGCUUUCUCUUGCUGGUUGUGCUGCAGCAUGAAUCCAGCAGUUGUUAAAUGUUCCUCCUCUCGUCCUCUCCUCAGCAAAUAAAUGUAUAUUCUGAAUUAGUCUCUGGCGUGCUCGCUCUUGUGGCUUCUUUUUCAUGACCACCCCCCCCCCCCCUCCCCCUCCUCACUGUCUCUUUCUCCCACUGUGUUUGUGUGUCUACCUAGCUCUCUCUUUCUCUCUCUCUCUCUCUCUCUCUCUCUCUCACUCUCUCUCUCUCUCACUCUCCCUCUCCCUCUCCCCUUCUCUCUCUCUCUCUCUCUCUCUCUCUCUCUCUCUCUCUCUCUCUCUCUCUCUCUCUCUCUCUCUCUCACGUUUUUCGGGGCACGAAUCUAUGCCGAAGCCCGCUACUAUUUCCUCUGCUCAUCUAGUUUCAAAUCUUUCCGAUUCCACUUUUAAGACAUCUUAGACUGACAGAGCAUUCAGGGCUUGGUGUGAAACCUGCCAUUUUGUAAACUGCAUUGUGUGAGUUUCCAAGGUUGCUAUGAAAACAUGCAGUCAUAGACGUGGCCACCCAUUGUGCAUGUAUUGUUACGAGAUCAGGUGCUAGGCAACGGCCAAGCGUUUAAUCAAGUAUCACGCUACCAAGAGUACAUAACCCCUGGGGGAUAUGUACUCUUGAUGCUACUCAUGCAAUGCAGAGCUCAUGUUAGCGGCGAGUAUCCCAUUUCCUUUGUGCUGUGGGAUAUCACAAUACCAUUUUGCUGUGGGAUAUCACAAUAUCUUUGUGCUGUGGGAUAUCAUGCUACCCUUGGCUGUGCUGUGGUGUAUCACAUUGCCCCUGGCUGAAAUCAAACCUCCACUUGAAGGAGUUGCAUUUUGAUAGAAAGUAUGUUUUUCGCAGUAAAAGAGUAUUUAUUUGUAGAGCUUGUGUUGAUACAGAUUCCUAGGUUCGAACCCCAAGAUGGGCAGUCAGGCCAUGUAAAAUAUAUAGAUUGUUUAUCGUCAGAUUUUCCUGAGAAAUCGGGGCGGACAGGAGGUAUUUUAUUUUUAUUUUGCAUGUAUGGCUGUAUGGUAGGUGCUCGCAACCCCUAG